AUAUGCUAACUCUAAAUUUAUAGCCAUAAAGAUUAACAUGAGAAGAGUAACAUGGCCCCUGCGCAAGGAUGACACGCAAAUUCAUGAAGUGUUCCAUAUUAAA